rnacentral:tRNA from 1 species
CGGGCUGUCGUAUAUAGGUAUUAUGCAUGGCUGGGGGUCAUGCGAACCGGGUUCAAGUCCCGGCAGCCCGA